GACGGACGCUGGCGGCGUGCUUAACACAUGCAAGUCGAACGGAAAGGCCCUGCUUGCAGGGUGCUCGAGUGGCGAACGGGUGAGUAACACGUGGGUGAUCUGCCCCUUACUUUGGGAUAAGCCUGGGAAACUGGGUCUAAUACUGGAUAGGACCAUGCUGUAGGUGGUGUGGUGGAAAGAUUAGUUUCGGUAAGGGAUGAGCUCGCGGCCUAUCAGCUUGUUGGUGGGGUAAUGGCCUACCAAGGCGUCGACGGGUAGCCGGCCUGAGAGGGUGGACGGCCACAUUGGGACUGGGAUACGGCCCAGAAUCCUACGGGAGGCAGCAGUGGGGAAUAUUGCACAAUGGGCGCAAGCCUGAUGCAGCGACGCCGCGUGGGGGAUGACGGCCUUCGGGUUGUAAACUCCUUUCAGCCAUGACGAAGCCCUUGUGGUGACGGUAGUGGUAGAAGAAGCACCGGCUAACUACGUG
rnacentral:rRNA from 1 species